AGCCAUGCACAGUUUUCCUGAACCAGAAAGAAAACCAGAAUUAUUUAGAACUUGGUUGUCAAUUGUUGGCGACAGAUUAAAGGAGACAGACCCACUGAAAAUUUAUAAAAAUAAGAAGAUUUGUGACCAUCAUUUCACACCAGAUCAAAAAGUGGCCUGUCAUCGUUUAAUAAAUAAGGCUGUACCGUCUGUGAAUUUCGAAGGUGUAACUAUGUCCUCUUGUCUCCUGGAAAUAGAGCACAAUUACCUACUGCCUGCCAAAUAUUGGAAAUAGAAACACAGCCAAUUUGUUUCAAGAAAAUCGGUCAAAUGACGAAGAAUUAAAUGAGCGUCUUCAUCCAACUCAACAUCCUUCUACAUCUCGAAACAGUUUUGAUAAGGGUAAA